GACGAACGCUGGCGGCGUGCUUAACACAUGCAAGUUGAGCGGAAAGGCCACUUCGGUGGUACUCGAGCGGCGCACGGGUGAGUAACACGUGAGUAAUCUGCCCUUGGCUUUGGGAUAGCCACCGGAAACGGUGAUUAAUACCGGAUACGACCACUCCAGGCAUCUGGUGGUGGUGGAAAGUUUUUCGGCCAGGGAUGUGCUCGCGGCCUAUCAGCUUGAUGGUGAGGUAAUGGCUCACCAUGGCUUCGACGGGUAGCCGGCCUGAGAGGGUGACCGGUCACACUGGGACUGAGACACGGCCCAGACUCCUACGGGAGGCAGCAGUGGGGAAUAUUGGACAAUGGGCGGAAGCCUGAUCCAGCAACGCCGCGUGAGGGAUGACGGCCUUCGGGUUGUAAACCUCUUUCGGUAGGGACGAAGCGCAAGUGACGGUACCUACUAAAGAAGCACCGGCCAACUACGUG
rnacentral:rRNA from 1 species